UACGGAGGGUGCAAGCAUUAAUCGGAUUUAUUGGGCGUAAAGGGCGCGUAGACGGGGACGACAGUCAGAUGUGAAAUCCCGGGGCUCAACCUCGGAACUGCAUUUGAAACUACGACUCUAGAGGGUAGGCGGAGAAAAUGGAAUUCCACAAGUAGCGGUGAAAUGCGUAGAUAUGUGGAAGAACACCGGUGGCGAAGGCGAUUUUCUAGCUUAUACCUGACGUUGAGGCGCGAAAGCAAGGGGAGCAAACAGG
rnacentral:rRNA from 1 species